UGCUCCUACGGGAGGCAGCAGUUAGGACUAUUGGUCAAUUUUCGGGAGCCUGAACCAGCCAAGCCGCGUGAGGGAAGAAGGUACAGCGUAUCGUAAACCUCUUUUGUCAGGGAACAAAGGCGGGGACUAGUCCCCGGAUGAGGGUACCUGAAGAAAAAGCAUCGGCUAACUCCGUGCCAGCAGCCGCGGUAAUACGGAGGAUGCGAGCGUUAUCCGGAUUUAUUGGGUUUAAAGGGUGCGCAGGCGGCCUGUUAAGUCAGCGGUAA
rnacentral:rRNA from 1 species